rnacentral:rRNA from 1 species
UACUACCGAAGCUACGGCAUCAGUAAUGAUGGGUAGGGGAGCUUCCCAUACGGGUUGAAGCAUGACCGUAAGGACAUGUGGACAGUAUGGGAGUGGGAAUGUUGGCAUGAGUAGCGAGAUGUGGGUGAGAAUCCCACAGGCCGUAAACCCAAGGUUUCCAGGGGAAGGUUCGUCCGCCCUGGGUUAGUCGGGACCUAAGCUGAGGCCGAAAGGCGUAGGUGAUGGACAACAGGUUGAUAUUCCUGUACUACCGAUAACCGUUUGAGAGAAGGGAUGACACAGUAGGAUAAGCUAAGCACACUGUUGGUUAUGUGUGCCCAAGCAUUGAGGCAGUCAAAG